rnacentral:rRNA from 1 species
GCUUUUUGGCUGACGAGUGGCGGACGGGUGAGUAAUGUCUGGGAAACUGCCUGAUGGAGGGGGAUAACUACUGGAAACGGUAGCUAAUACCGCAUAACGUCGCAAGACCAAAGAGGGGGACCUUCGGGCCUCUUGCCAUCGGAUGUGCCCAGAUGGGAUUAGCUAGUAGGUGGGGUAACGGCUCACCUAGGCGACGAUCCCUAGCUGGUCUGAGAGGAUGACCAGCCACACUGGAACUGAGACACGGUCCAGACUCCUACGGGAGGCAGCAGUGGGGAAUAUUGCACAAUGGGCGCAAGCCUGAUGCAGCCAUGCCGCGUGUGUGAAGAAGGCCUUCGGGUUGUAAAGUACUUCAGCGGGGAGGAAGGGG